GUUAAAGGCUAUGUUAUUUUGUGUACGAUAGCCCUUAAUUGAAUUUGCUGACACUAGCGUUCGCUCAUUAAAAAAUCAUUAAAUAUUAAAACAAAGAUAGAAUGACGCGCGCUUCUCGAAGCAGCCACUGAAAUAUUUUAUUUCCUAGCAACCAAUUUGUAAUAAAAAAACAAAAUAAGUAUUGCAUGUUAUUAACAAUAUAAAAUUGAUUAGAAUUAAUAAAGAGUUUAAGGCAGAUUGAUUAGAAUUGUUAUAAUAAAUGUACAUUAGGAAUUUCAAAUAUGUUUAUGAAUAACGUGUGGAAGAUUCAACGUGGUUACGAUGUAUUGUCACGGAGAUCAUUCAGUAUAAAUCGUCGACUUCUAAUAAAUGAUAUAAAGUUUCAAAAAUUCAAAUUGAAGCAAGCAAAAAUGCAGUGCGACGACGGACUUCCUGUCUAUCUAAAAGGGACACGAGAUAGACUAUUAUUUAGGAUUACAAUAGCAUGGUUUUUAUGUAACACACUGAUGUCAGUUUAUACUAUCACAAAGAUGUGGUAACUAUUUUAAUCUCAAUGAAAUAAUAUUCCAGUAAUCACACCCAUGAUCUGAAAUACAUGAAUGAGUAAUUAGAAGUUGCAAAAAAAAACAACAAAAAUCAAAACUUGUCUACAAGCUAAAAAAUUAAAACAGGUUUAAAA